UUGACAUCCAGCGAACUUUCCAGAGAUGGAUUGGUGCCUUCGGGAACGCUGAGACAGGUGCUGCAUGGCUGUCGUCAGCUCGUGUUGUGAAAUGUUGGGUUAAGUCCCGCAACGAGCGCAACCCUUAUCCUUUGUUGCCAGCGAUUCGGUCGGGAACUCAAAGGAGACUGCCGGUGAUAAACCGGAGGAAGGUGGGGAUGACGUCAAGUCAUCAUGGCCCUUACGAGUAGGGCUACACACGUGCUACAAUGGCGCAUACAAAGAGAAGCGACCUCGCGAGAGCAAGCGGACCUCAUAAAGUGCGUCGUAGCCCGGAUCGGAGUCUGCAACUCGACUCCGUGAAGUCGGAAUCGCUAGUAAUCGUGGAUCAGAAUGCCACGGUGAAUACGUUCCCGGGCCUUGUACACACCGCCCGUCACACCAUGGGAGUGGGUUGCAAAAGAAGUAGGUAGCUUAACCUUCGGGAGGGCGCUUACCACUUUGUGAUUCAUGACUGGGGUGAAGUCGUAACAAGGUAGGCGUAGCGAG
rnacentral:rRNA from 1 species